UGGCGAACGGGUGAGUAACACGUGGGUGAUCUGCCCUGCGCUUUGGGAUAAGCCUGGGAAACUGGGUCUAAUACCAGAUAGGACCAUGCUUUGGAUGGUGUGGUGGAAAGUUUUUUCGGUGUGGGAUGAGCUUGCGGCCUAUCAGCUUGUUGGUGGGGUAAUGGCCUACCAAGGCGUCGACGGGUAGCCGGCCUGAGAGGGUGUACGGCCACAUUGGGACUGAGAUACGGCCCAG
rnacentral:rRNA from 1 species